rnacentral:rRNA from 1 species
AUUGAACGCUGGCGGCAGGCCUAACACAUGCCAGUCGAGCGGAUGAAGGGAGCUUGCUCCUGGAUUCAGCGGCGGACGGGUGAGUAAUGCCUAGGAAUCUGCCUGGUAGUGGGGGAUAACGUCCGGAAACGGGCGCUAAUACCGCAUACGUCCUGAGGGAGAAAGUGGGGGAUCUUCGGACCUCACGUUAUCAGAUGAGCCUAGGUCGGAUUAGCUAGUUGGUGGGGUAAAGGCCUACCAAGGCGACGAUCCGUAACUGGUCUGAGAGGAUGAUCAGUCACACUGGAACUGAGACACGGUCCAGACUCCUACGGGAGGCAGCAGUGGGGAAUAUUGGACAAUGGGCGAAAGCCUGAUCCAGCCAUGCCGCGUGUGUGAAGAAGGUCUUCGGAUUGUAAAGCACUUUAAGUUGGGAGGAAGGGCAGUAAGUUAAUACCUUGCUGUUUUGACGUUACCAACAGAAUAAGCACCGGCUAACUUCGUG